rnacentral:rRNA from 1 species
AUUGAACGCUGGCGGCAUGCCUUACACAUGCAAGUCGAACGGCAGCGCGGACUUCGGUCUGGCGGCGAGUGGCGAACGGGUGAGUAAUACAUCGGAACGUACCCUGUUGUGGGGGAUAACUAGUCGAAAGAUUAGCUAAUACCGCAUAAGACCUGAGGGUGAAAGUGGGGGGCCGCAAGGCCUGACGCCGCAGGAGCGGCCGAUGUCUGAUUAGCUAGCUGGUGGGGGAAAAGCCCACCAAGGCGACGGUCAGUAGCUGGGCUGAGAGGACGAUCAGCCACACGGGGACUGAGACUCGGCCCAGACUCGUACGCGCGGCAGCAGUGGAGAAUUUUGGACAAUGGGGGCAACCCUGAUACAGCAAUGCCGCGUGUGUGAAGAAGGCCUUCGGGUUGGAAAGCACUUUUGCCCGGAAAGAAAUCGCGCUGGUUAAUACCUGCCGUGGAUGACGGUACCGGAAGAACAAUCACCGGCUAACUACGUGCCAGCCGCCGCCGUAA